AUUGAACGCUGGCGGCAGGCCUAACACAUGCCAGUCAAGCGGAUGAAGGGAGCUUGCUCCUGGAUUCAGCGGCGGACGGGUGAGUAAUGCCUAGGAAUCUGCCUGGUAGUGGGGGAUAACGUCCGGAAACGGGCGCUAAUACCGCAUACGUCCUGAGGGAGAAAGUGGGGGAUCUUCGGACCUCACGCUAUCAGAUGAGCCUAGGUCGGAUUAGCUAGUUGGUGGGGUAAAGGCCUACCAAGGCGACGAUCCGUAACUGGUCUGAGAGGAUGAUCAGUCACACGGGAACUGAGACACGGACCAGACGCCUACGGGAGGCAGCAGUGGGGAAUAUUGGACAAUGGGCGAAAGCCUGAUCCAGCCAUGCCGCGUGUGUGAAGAAGGUCUUCGGAUUGUAAAGCACUUUAAGUUGGGAGGAAGGGCAGUAAGUUAAUACCUUGCUGUUUUGACGUUACCAACAGAAUAAGCACCGGCUAACUUCGUG
rnacentral:rRNA from 1 species